rnacentral:rRNA from 1 species
GAUGAACGCUAGCGGCAGGCUUAACACAUGCAAGUCGAGGGGCAGCAUAAGUACUUGUACUUGAUGGCGACCGGCGGACGGGUGAGUAACGCGUAUGGAAUCUACCUUUUACAGGGGGAUAGCCCAGAGAAAUUUGGAUUAAUACCUCAUAGUAUAUAUUUAUGGCAUCGUAAAUAUAUUAAAGAUUUAUCGGUAAAAGAUGGCCAUGCGUUCUAUUAGCUAGAUGGUAAGGUAACGGCUUACCAUGGCUACGAUAGAUAGGGGCCCUGAGAGGGGGAUCCCCCACACUGGUACUGAGACACGGACCAGACUCCUACGGGAGGCAGCAGUGAGGAAUAUUGGACAAUGGGCGAGAGCCUGAUCCAGCCAUGCCGCGUGCAGGAAGACUGCCCUAUGGGUUGUAAACUGCUUUUAUACAGGAAGAAACCUCCCGACGUGUCGGGACUUGACGGUACUGUAAGAAUAAGGAUCGGCUAACUCCGUGCCAGCAGCCGCGGUAAUACGGAGGAUCCAAGCGUUAUCCGGAAUCAUUGGGUUUAAAGGGUCCGUAGGUGGAUAAUUAAGUCAGGGGUGAAAGCUUAUAGCUCAACUAUAAAAUUGCCUUUGAUACUGGUUAUCUUGAAUCAUUAUGAAGUAGUUAGAAUAUGUGGUGUAGCGGUGAAAUGCAUAGAUAUCACAUAGAAUACCAAUUGCGAAGGCAGAUUACUAAUAAUGUAUUGACACUGAUGGACGAAAGCGUGGGGAGCGAACAGG